AAAAAAAAAAAAAGAAUGUCUGCUGUCCUCCCUGUACCUUCCUGUCCCUCAUGUCACCCUGGCUCAUCCUCCUUCUAGCCUCACUCUCCUUCUUUAACUGGCCAACUCAACCUGUAGGCCUCAGCUGAGAUGGUCUUCCUCUGAGAUUUUUCUGGCUGCCCCUAGAUCACAGGUCUCUGUUCCUGUGGAACCUCUGCUUCCUGCUUCAUAAACACCUGCUCCAUAUAUUAUCAAAUUCCUAUCAUCUACCUCCAGCCAGCUUGAGCUCCUCCAAGGCAGAGUUGCUGCACCAUCUGUGCCCAGCACAGUAUCAGAGGAGGGGCUAAAAACAAUGCUUGGACAUAUGAUUCUCGGUUCCCUCUUGCCCCCUGGACCUGCUCCUGGUGUCCCCCUCCCUCCCUUCUCCUAUGGGGAUCUGUAGAUUGCAUCACCCUUCUGCUGUUGAAAGUAAUGAAUCACCUCUCGCCAAGUCCCCACGUGGUAAAAAAUCUCCCGGGAUACAGGAGAAGUGCCAUAGAUUACGGCUUGGUGUGGUCAUAGGGAGCAAGUGAGGGGUGGCAGGGUGCCUGUACAAGCGGGGAAGGGUUAGGGAUCCCAGCCCUUAUCCUGUGCACAGUUUUGGUUUCUGCCAGCUGGAGCUGUGCAAAGGAUUGGCAGUGUGGCCCUCACCUGAGGCAGGGCCUGGGAACCUGAGCAUCCCUGGAAGAUGCUGAGCUGGGCCUUGGUGGGGAUGGGGGAGGAGGGGGCUCAGAAGUACAGCCCAAUCCAGGCUGUCUGACAAGCAAUGGGGACGGGAGAGUCCCGGAUAGCUGGUGAGGAGCCAGGGCUCAGGGUGGGCCCUCUCCUUAAGCCCGAGGUAGGAGGCUGGCAGCAGCACUGACGCAAGUACAGGUGAGGGCAGGGCCCAAAAUGUGGCCCUGGGGCCUUCCAGCUUGGCCAGACCAGCCCAACGAGAAGCCAGGGCUGGGAGGGCCAGGCAGGUGGGGAAGGCUUGCAGGCCAGGCCCAAUACCUUGAGAAGCCAAUGGGCUCCUCAAGGGUACUUCAUUCUGGGUGAGGCCCAAGACGUGGCGGCCACACUUCCUCCCAUGCCCAGGGAUUCUGAGUCUACGCAAGCCCAGGCCUGAUCCCUGCCAUGGUCACUGCCCAGCAGGGAAUCUCCUGGAGUGAGGCCCCAGGGUGGAGCUGCCCAUGGGCAACUUCCCUGCUCCCACCCCUGUCUGUCUCUCCCAGACCUCUUAUAGGUCAUUGUUGAGAGCUCAAGGUCAUAGCUGCCAAAGAAAUACCACAGGGCAUGGCACUGUAGGCCUUGGAGUGGAGGAUGGUGGGGAAGACAGGGUGAGUCUACAAUUCUUCCAAAAAUGCUAAUCUCACUUUGCCACUCCUUGUUUGCAACCCUUCCCUGGCACCCUGCAGGCAUUCAGGACAGCAUUCAACUCUGACCUUGGCCUACACAGCCCUCCUGGAUGGUCUCAAUUCCCUCUCCAACCUCAUCCUUCCCUCUUCUCCACCUGGUGGGUCACUUUCCAUUUCUCUCUGUCCUGGGUGCCUGAGUGCUUGGACCUGGUACUCAAAGGCCACCCAGCACCCAGAUAAGUCCUGCUUACCCUCCACUUGCUGUUCUAGCAACGAAGUGACUCUGACUCCCAACCAGAGUAGAAGUCACUCCCUGCCUGCAGCCCCACAGCUCCCACCUCUCCCCUGCCAACCCAGUGUACCACUGAGUGGGCCCAGAUGCAACACUCCUGACAAGUCACUGAGGGUAUCACAGUAACAGCCUCUGCCCAGCAAUUUCCUUUUCAGCCUGCAGGGUCCUCACGCUCACCGGUCUGGUCACAGGGUUCACCCUGUUUUGCCAGCUGCCAGCUCAUCCAGCCUUCCUAAGUGUGAGUCCUGGGGUUACACUGAGCCUACGUGUGAGGCCUUGGUCACUGUGGGCAUUAUGGCGAUGUCCAGGCCAGUGCUGAGAUCUUUCCUGUUGCUGAGAUUAUGAGGGACCCUGAGUCCUUAUUCUCUGUCCUGAGUCCCCUCACCUGUGGGUUCUUCCCAUCCCAGGUCCAUCACCUCCCUGCAUCCCUGUCCUCCCUGCUUUUGGCUUCCUCUGCUGGGACACUCCUGGUGAGGCCACCUGGCCCAGCUUGUUCCUCCCCUCUCCCUGAGCUUGUCUCAGAUCAGGCUUUCUGGAUCUGAGUUUACUGCUUGUCCUGUGGCCCUUUUCUGAGAUCCUCUCUUCCAGUCUCUGGGGCUGUCCUCACCCCAACAUGCACCUGCUGCCCCAGGGUGCUGGCGAAAGCUCCUCAAGUGGUCAUUUAUUCACUAAAAGCUCCUAUUUGCAGCCUCUGCCCCACGCCAGGCCUAGGCUGGAGCUGGGGCUGCAGUGUGAACAAGCCAGGUCCUGUCUUCAGAGCCUCACAGCAUGGUGGGCAAACAAUUCACAGAAUCAUGUUGCCUGUCACUGCAGGAGACAGAGCAAGGUCCUGUGGAGGAUGGCGGGUAAAUGGGGUACUGUCUGGCAGAGCAACUGGGAAUAUGUAUUUGAGCCUUUGCAAACUCUCCAGCUAUUUGACCUCAGCUGCUUACCUGCUCACACCACCUCCUGAUAGCCUCUGUGGUGCUCACUGAUCUCUGACCACAGCUUUAGGUACAAGUGUCCAAGAAAUUCCUUCACCUUGAGCUGACCACCUGCUCUUUUCUCCAGCUCAUAGGCUCCACAUGGGCUGACCUCUUGGCUGCCCCUGGAUUGGGGGCCCUUCUGCUUGGUGUACCAAGCCCCCGAGAGGGUGCCUGUCACUCAAGGACUGCUGGAGGAAAGAAGGGCUCUCUGAUCCCUAGAAGGAGGCCACCUCUGGUCCUGCGCAGCUGAGAGGGGCUCCACACAGAUCCUCCUCCUCUAAAUGUCUGUUUUCCUCCUGUGUGAACCAAAGGGCUCACUUGUUGUUUCUGCUGCUUUUAAAAUUGUGAGUAGAUAUGUUUUUUGCCAGGGCAGCUUGCUCCAGGAUCUCACAGGAACAGAGGGCAUGGUGCCUACAGCAAAGCCAGUCUGCCGUGGGACUGCCGGCCUCUGCCUGCUGCUGAGUGGGGCAGGCAGGAUGUGCAGAGGGGCUGGCCUGAUCCCAUGGUCCUGAAGACAGGACCAGCUUUGGGAGGAAGCUGAGUUUGUCUGCAUGAAGGAGCUGCAUUUGCACCUGCCGACCCCCUGCAGGGAUUGGCAGAUGGAAUUGCUCAAUAAACAUUCAACAAAGUAUCUGUCUUAGUCAAGAUUCCUUUGCUUACAAGUUUAAGCAAAAAGAAGUUUCUCUGGGAAAGUUCUCAUAACUGCAGGAAGAGAAGGGUGUAGGUGGGCCUCAGAGACAGCUGGAACCAAGGACUGACACCGCACCAAAAUUCACUUGCACCUUCUGCCCUCGCUCCAGUUCCUCCCCAUGGUGAAAGACUUGACUAUAAAUGGCUCCAGCACUUUCUGGCUCCAAAUCCACAGGGGAAAUAAGCUACUUCUUUAUAUUCUCACACUGAAAAAUUUCAGGGAAGAAUGCUGACUGACCCAACUUGAGCCAAUUACUCAACCUUGGACCAAUCACUGUGAAGAGGGUAUCCAGGAAUAUGGCAUUUCCCAUUCAAAGAUCAUGGUCAGAAAAGAGUGAGGAGUGGAUCCUGGGAGAUGGAGGAUGCUGUUCUGGGCAGACAAAAUGGAGUUAAACAUUACAAGAAAGAAUGAUUAAGUAAAUGAAUGAGCCAAGAGCUACACAUGUCCUUACAGAUAAUGGCACAAUUUCCACAGUGUUUGCAAAGAAUUCUCUCUGGUUCUUACUGUAGCCCUAUGAAUCCACAUCUCACAUAUGAGGAAAGACGGUCAAAGUUACAAGUGAAAAAAAUGCAGCCAGGAUUCCACCCCCUGAUGGCAUAUUAGAUGUGUGUACUUGGAGUUUUUCCUCCCACAGAAGUGUGGGCAGCUAGACCUCUCCUGAGCAGUCACUGGAGAAGAGGGCAAGUGUUUAUCUGUGAGGGAGGGAAAAGGGAUUCUGUCAAGGGUUAGCUCUAAGCCCAUUUCUGCACCAACUCUCAUGUUGGGAAACCUUUUCUUGCCUCAGUCAGCAUGAGAACAUAACUGCUUCUUUGGGGAUUUGAGACCAUGCCAUCUUUGCUUUAGUGUUAAACUGUGAUUAUUUUAGCUUGUAUCUGGAGCCCUAAGGGCCCAGGACAUGGAGGUCAUUAUCCAGAACCAGACACAGAUGAGAGGCCCUUGACUUGGGACUUAGAGGGCAAAUGGGCAGCUCAGUUUUCACUUCCUACUAGCUCUCUGACACACACACCAGGGAAUUCACUGCUUUUUCCUGUGCCUUUAUUCUAACACAUGGCACUUGCUGCAGUGCCUCAUAGUCAGGGGGCUAGACUUGCUUCUUAAGGUCAAGGCCUGAAUCCGUUUAUCUUAUCCUCUCAGAACUUGAAGUCUAUGGUAGAUGGUUUGCAAAGAUGGCUUCAAUAACCCCUCCCAUUCCUAUGUGCAUGCCCCUUUGCAACAUAACUCUGCUACUUUUUCCUUGAAGAGGUCAAGUCUCUUUCCCUACCCCUUGAAUUUGGGCUUGCCUGUGACUUGCUUUGACCACCAGAAUGCAGCAGCCUAGUCCUCAAGAGGCGUUGCAGCUUUUGCUCUUGUCCUCUUAGCAUCUGCCAAUCUACAUGUGAACAUGCCUGGGCUAGCCUGAUGGAGCAUGACAAGCCACGUGGAGUAGACAAAUACCAUCCCAGUUGAGGCUCACCAGACCAACUCACUACAGCCAGCACCAAGUGUCAGACAUGAAUAUGACCUUCUUGGACCUUCCCCCUCAGUCAAGCCACCAGAAGACUGCAGCCCCACUAAUGAGCCCAGGGGAGACUAAGGAAAGAAUCUCUCAGCUGAGCCUAGCCUUAAUUGCUGACUUACAGAAUUAUGAGCAAAUAAAAUAGUUGUUUUCAGCAGCUAAGUUUUGAAGUGGUGUGUUACACAGUGAUAGAAAAUGGGUACAGGGUAGUUCUUAGUUGUAGUAUGUUGAAUUGCCUCUUCCCAAAAAAUAUGCUCAAGUCCUAACCCCUGAUACCUGUGAAUGUGACCUUAUUUAGAAAUAGGGUCUUUGCAGAUGUAAUCAAGUUAAGAUGAGGUCAUACAGGAUGAGGGUGGGCCCUAAAUCCAAUGACUGAUGUCUUUAUAAGAUUUGGAUACAGAGACACAGAGGAGACACAGGGAAGAAGGCCAUGUAAUGACGAGGGUAGAGAUUGAAGUGACUCAACGUAUAAGCCAAGGAAUACCAAGGACUGCCAGGAGCCAUCAGAAGCCAGGAAGAAUUCCCCCUUAGCAUCUUCAGAGGGAGCAUGGCCCUGUGAACACCUUGAUUUCAGACUGCUAGCCUCCAGAACUGUGAGAGAAUACAUUCCUGCGUUAAGCCACCCAGUUUGUGACCAUUUGUUAUGGCAGCUCGAGAAAAUUAAUACACGAGUUCAGAAUUUUGCUCAGAAAGUGCCAGCUGGCUGAAUGGAGAAGCUGAGAAGUGGAGGAUAAUUAACUUGCCCUUUUGGCACCUCGCCCCUCCAUUGACUUCAGUCACCAUGCUGCUGGGUCACCACCUCCCAGGGCUCAGACACCUGCAUCUUCUGCCCAGCCCUCGGGGGUCUGGCUCCAGGUCUGCACACACACACGAACCCGGGCACAGUGCUCAGGGCAUUCUUUAUGUAUGCGUAUAUACACACUUUUUUUUCUGCACAUAAAAAUAGUUCGUGAAAAUCUAAGUAAGCUUAGAAAAUAUAGCAAAGUAGGCCAGGCGUGGUGGCUCAUGCCUGUAAUCCCAGCACUUUGGGAGGCUGAGGUGGGUAGAUUACUUGAGGCCAAGAGUUCAAGACCAGCCUGGCCAGCAUGUCAAAACCCCAUCUCUACUAAAAGUACAAAAAUUAGCUGGGCAUGGUGGCGGCCACCUGUAAUCACAGCUACUUGGGAGACUGAGGCAAGAAUCACUUGAACCUGGGAGGUGGGGGUUGCAGUGAGUCGAGAUCAUGCCACUGCACUCCAGCCUGGCGAGAGAGCGAGACUCUGUCUCAAGAUAUAUACAUUUAUAGCAAAGUAAAAAGAAGAAAAAAAAUACCCAAAACUUUAUCGUCCAGUGAUAACCACUGUCAACAUUUCAUUUUUUUUUUUUUUUUUUUUUUUUUUUUUUUGUGAGACGGAGAUUUACUCUUGUUGUCCAGGCUGGAGUGCAAUGGCGCGAUCUCAGCUCACCGCAUUCUCCGCCUCCCAGGUUCAAGCGAUUCUCCUGCCUCAGCCUCCCGAGUCGCUGGGAUUACAGGCAUGUGUCACCACGCCCGGCUAAUUUUGUAUUUUUAGUAGAGACGGGGUUUCGCCGUGUUGCCCAGGCUGAUCUCGAACUCCUGACCUCAGGUAAUCCGCCCGCCUUGGCCUCCCAAAGUGCUGGGAUUACAUGCGUGAGCCACUGCACCUGGCAACAUUUCAUUUUUAAAUUGUUAUAGUCUUUUCAUUUAUACAAAUAUUGGUAUAUGAUUUUUCAAAGCAAAAAAUGGGAUCAUACUGUUG
rnacentral:lncRNA from 1 species